CACGUAGGGCGCAAGCGUUGUCCGGAAUUAUUGGGCGUAAAGAGCUCGUAGGUGGUUUGCCACGUCCGCUGUGAAAUCCCAAGGCUUAACCUUGGGCUUGCAGUGGAUACGGGCAGACUAGAGGUAGGUAGGGGAGAAUGGAAUUCCCGGUGUAGCGGUGAAAUGCGCAGAUAUCGGGAGGAACACCGGUGGCGAAGGCGGUUCUCUGGGCCUUACCUGACACUGAGGAGCGAAAGCGUGGGGAGCGAACAGG
rnacentral:rRNA from 1 species